ACCACUGCUCUUAUAGUGGUUCAUCUUGACCCGUUCCGUCAGUUUGGCGUGGAGGCCAAUGCUUCGGAUGUCGGAUUGGUGGCUGUUCUGUCCCAACGUCCGGAACAUCCGUUCAUUGUGUGGACUGACCAAAAGUAUCUCCGCACCACCAAGCGCCUGAACUCCAGGCAAGCGAGAGGUGCCCUGCUGUUUUUCUGGUUCAAAUUGUCCCUCUCCUACCGGCCGGGGUCUGUUACACACGCCUCUAUGAAGAGGGAUUGCAACACCCUGCUACAACUCGACUCUCCGUGAAGUGAAGGAGUUAUGGACUGUAGGUGCGAGUAAGUAUGACAAAAGGCGGAGAAUUGUACCGUUUACAAUGAAUUUAUUCUGUCACACGGUAAUUUUUGGGAAAAGGGUCUGGAUGGAACCAAAGCAAAGAAAGUAAAUAUCAAAGCCCCCUCUCCUACCUUACCUGCCUACCCACUACUUACCUAACUUAACACCACCUAGUGCGCUAACCAAAAUACAGGUGGUGGUCCGCCCAGGUCUUAUCUAGUGUGCCUAGACAGUGAAUAUACUACGGGUAUAUGUAUGCCCGCAGGCCUCUUGCCUAAGCUCUCCCUAGGUGCCUUCCCCUUCUCCCCUGGGAACAAAUUAAACAGAAUUAUCCAAAUGUAAUUAAACCAUUUCAAGAAUCAAAAACACAGUUCUAUUAGCACACACAUACUUCAAAUCAGCGGCUACCAAAAUACAUAACAAAACCUAUCUCUGAGCCACAACCAAGACAGGACAUCAAUUCAGCUUUCUCUCAGCAACAACCACAGAACAUAACCAUCUCUGUUAGCAACAACCAACAUAAUGUCCCUCAGCCAUCAACCUCCUCUCUCAGCAAUGAUCUCACUUCUGAGCAACAGAACACUGACUUAUAUAGAUAGCUUCAGAAGGAAUUGGUAAUUGGAGACAGCUUUGUCCUGACGAGGGGGUGGGGUCAGCUCUCCAAUCAUCAAUGGGGCCGACCAAUUAGCUGCUUGGGGAGAAUUCAGGAAGCCAUCCUGAAACACACACCUCACAAACCACAACACAGAAACUGGGGAACGCAACAAGGUCUAAGAUCGUCAAGCCGGAUACCCUGUUUCGCCGCUAUAACCCCACGGUUACCACCCUGGAGCCCAAGACCAUCCUUUCCAACUCGUGCCUGGCGACAGCACUCAGCUGGGGUAUGGUGAAACAGGUACGGGAGAAUCAGCGGUCCCAGCAAAACCCUGGGGGGAUCCCGGAUAACCAGAUGUUUUUGACUGACGCUGUCCACGGUCAUGGAGUGGGCCCAUUCCUCCAGGCUUGCCAGUCACUCGGGCUCUCGUCGGACCCUGGCCUUCGUGCGACAAUGCUUUUGAUGGCCUACUAUGGUUCCAAAUUUUGCAGAGUUUGUCAUUGCCUGCACAGUCCUCGCACAGAACAAGACUCUGCAAGCUCUGGCUGGUCAUCUCAAACCACUGCCUGUCCCUCACUGUCCCUGGUCCCAUAUAUGCCUGGAUUUUGUCAUGGGUCUCCCCGUUUGAGGGCAACACUGCCAUCCUGACUGUGGUCGACCAGUUUUCCAAAGCCGCCCACUUCAUUCCUCUCUCCAAACUACCCUUGGCCAAGGAGACGGCCCAGUUUAUGGUACAGCACGUCUUCCGGAUCCAUCAAAUCCGGUUGGACAUGGUCUCCGACCGGGGUCCGCAGUUCUCGUCCCAGUUCUGGAAGGCGUUCUGUACUCUCAUUGGUUCGUUGGACAGCCUGUCCUCCGGAUUCUACCCCCAGUCCAACUGUCUAGUCGGAGCGAGCAAACCGGGACUUAGAGAUGACUCUUCGCUGCCUAGUCUCCGCCAACCGUACCACCUGGAGUCAGCAACUGGUAUGGGUUGAGUAUGCUCGCAACACCCUUCUUCUGCCAUGGGUCUCUUACCCUUUGAGUGUUCCUUGGGAUAUCAGCCUCCACUCUUCCCCAAGCAAGAGGAAGUCAGCAUUCCCUCGUCGCAGAUGUUCAUCCACCACUGUUGCCGUACCUGGAAGAGAGCCCGGGCCGCUCUGUUGAAGAUCACUUCCAGGCAUAGGCAACAAGUGUAUCGCCACCGAACCCCUGCUCCACGCUAUCGACUCGGGCAGAGGGUAUGGCUCUCCACCCAGGACCUGCCCCUCCGUUUGGAGUCGCGCACACUUUCCCCCCAUGUCAUCGGCCCGUUCCCCAUCUCUGGAGCCAUUAGCUCUUCUGCUGUUUGUCUUUGUUACCCCGUACCUUCCAUAUUCACCCUACUUUCCAUGUGUCUAGGAAAAGCCUGUGUCUCACAGCCCUUUGUCUUCUGUUUCCAGGCCCACACCUCCUCCCCGUGUCAUCAAUGGUCAUCCAGCUUACACAGUGAGGGGUUUCCAAUACCUGGUUGACUGGGAGGGAGGGUUAUGGCCUGGAGGAGAAGUGCUGGGUCCCCGCUAGAGACAUCCUGGACCCAGCCCUCAUGCCGACUUCCACCUCCGGCACCCUGGUCAACCAGGCCCACCCCUCCUCCCCGUGUCAUCGAUGGCCAUCCGGUGUACACGGUGAGAUGGCUCCUGAGAGUUUGACCCCGGUGCAGGGGUUUCGAGUGCCUGGUUGACUGGGAGGGUUAUGGUCCGGAGGAGAAGCUCUGGGUCCCCACUAGAGACAUCCUGGACCCAGCCCUCAUGCCGACUUCCACCGCAGGCACGCUGGUCAACCAGGUAUACAUCCAGGACCUGAGCCCUAGGACCAUGCCUCAGGACUACCUGGCAUGAUGACUCCUUGCUGUCCCCAGUCCACCUGGCCAUGCUACUGCUCCAGUUUCAACUGCACUGACUGCGGCUAUGGAAUCUUGACCUGUUCACCGGACGUGCUCCCUGUCCCAGACCUGCUGUUUUCAACUCUCUAGAGACAGCAAGAGCGGUAGAGAUACUCUUAAUGAUCGGCUAUGAAUAGCCAACUGACAUUUACUCCUGAGGUGCUGACUUGCUGCACCCUCGACAACUACUGUGAUUAUUAUUAUUUGACCAUGCUGGUCAUUUAUGAACAUUUGAACAUCUUGGCCAUGUUCUGUUAUAAUCUCCACCCGGCACAGCCAGAAGAGUACUGGCCACCCCUCAUAGCCUGGUUUCUUCCUAGGUUUUAGCCUUUCCAGGGAGUUUUUCCUUGCCACCGUGCUUCUACAGCUGCAUUGCUUGCUGUUUGGGGUUUUAGGCUGGGUUUCUGUACAGCACUUUGAGGUAUCAGCUGAUGUACGAAGGGCUAUAUAAAUACAUUUGAUUUUAUUUGAUUUGAAAAUAGCUGUGUAGCAAUGCUCCCUGUCUAACCUGACAGAGCUUGAGAGGCUCUGCAGAGAAGAAUGAGAGAAACUCCCCAAAUACAGCAAUUCCAGGUGAUAACCAAGAAGACUCAAGGCUAUAAUCACUGCCAAAGGUGCUCCAAGAAAGUACUGAGUAAAGAGUCUGAAUAUUUAUGUAAAUGUUAUGUUUUAUUUUUUAUAAAAAAUAUCUAAGCACC